GGAUGACGAGGAGAAGUAAGAUGGAAGGUGAGGGGGGAUGAAGGGAGGAUGACGAGGAGAAGUAAGGUGGAAGGUGAGGGGGGUGAGGGGAGGAUGACGAGGAGAAGUAAGAUGGAAGGUGAGGGGGGGGUGAAGGGAGGAUGACGAGGAGAAGUAAGAUGGAAGGUGAGGGGGGUGAAGGGAGGAUGACGAGGAGAAGUAAGAUGGAAGGUGAGGGGGUGAAGGGAGGAUGACGAGGAGAAGUAAGAUGGAAGGUGAGGGGGUGAAGGGAGGAUGACGAGGAGAAGUAAGGUGGAAGGUGAGGGGGGUGAAGGGAGGAUGACGAGGAGAAGUAAGAUGGAAGGUGAGGGGGGUGAAGGGAGGAUGACGAGGAGAAGUAAGGUGGAAGGUGAGGGGGGGGUGAAGGGAGGAUGACGAGGAGAAGUAAGAUGGAAGGUGAGGGGGGUGAAGGGAGGAUGACGAGGAGAAGUAAGAUGGAAGGUGAGGGGGGGUGAAGGGAGGAUGACGAGGAGAAGUAAGGUGGAAGGUGAGGGGGGUGAAGGGAGGAUGACGAGGAGAAGUAAGAUGGAAGGUGAGGGGGUGAAGGGAGGAUGACGAGGAGAAGUAAGAUGGAAGGUGAGGG
ensembl:lncRNA